rnacentral:tRNA from 1 species
GGAUGUAUGACUGAGUGGUUUAAAGUAUGAUAUUUGAGCUAUCAAGGCCUAUGGCCCACGUGUUCGAAUCACGUUGCAUCCG